rfam:Catellicoccus marimammalium M35/04/3 contig00007, whole genome shotgun sequence.
GGAGACUUAGCUCAGCUGGGAGAGCAUCUGCCUUACAAGCAGAGGGUCAGCGGUUCGAUCCCGUUAGUCUCCA